CCAUGCCGCGUGGGUGAUGAAGGCCCUAGGGUUGUAAAGCCCUUUCGGCGGGGAAGAUAAUGACGGUACCCGCAGAAGAAGUCCCGGCUAAACUUCGUGC
rnacentral:rRNA from 1 species